CCCCGCUGCGCUCCUGCCUGCUGCGUGUGCGGAGAUGGCGACCCCCGCCCGCCGGCUGCAGCAGCGGCAGCUGCUCCCCGCGCAGAGCCGCCAGGACCAGCAGAGAGAAGAGAUUCCAUCUUCCAGAAUUCACCACUGUCUGCUUUCCCCCAUAUGCCCUCCUUAGACCUUCUUUUUUUUUUUAAUCAUUAAAGGGACACUGCCAAGUAAUAUUUUAAAAUAAUCCUUAAUAUUAAUUUUACCCUAAAUUGUGUUUAAUUGCACUUAAUCUUCUUAGACGUCUAAACAUCCGUAUCUAUAUUUUUCCUAUAUCUUGAAUCAUCAGCAAUUUUUGUGUUAUUUUAGUGUCUUAUUGUCAUGCCAAAACGUCUUCCCGUCUGUAGACAUGCACUCGAUUGGUGUUACUUUGGGGAAGCAAUUUAAGUGUUGCUCUAGUAGAGAAGGAGCACAAUACUUGUUUUAGACGACUUGAAGAAAUAUUGCUUCCUUUAAAUACAUUUAUUGUUUGAUCAAAUAAUAAGCUUAAAAAAUGAAUUCAGAGGACUGUACUCAUCAGACGUCAAUUUAAAAUUGGUCAAAAUUUUGAAUCUAAAAACUUUGACAGUGUCCCUUUUAAAAACUCGUUAUAAAUGUCAAACUACAUUUUGCAUAGGUGAUUUUUAACUGUUAUGUGUGUUUGCACAAGAAAUUUGGUGGUGGUUUUGUAUUGAACAUAGAGUGGUUAGCCUCUCUCUCCAAAAAAAUCAUAUUGAUCACUGUCACAACAAAACAUGAGCAAUUUAUUUUACUAAAUCAAAUAAAAAAGUAGAAAUUAACAGCCAGCAUUUUUCCUUUAACAUGCUUUUCUUUACCAUCAAAAUCAGCAUAUUCUCUAUAUAGCUUUUUACUGAAGUUAUAGCCACACAUUUUGUCCAAAUCAGACUAAUAUACUUUUCCAAGAUGCAUUAUACUUGCACACCAAGCCUGGAGGUCUAGGAUGAAAUUCUGACCUCAAUGAAGAGUCUGGUGGCGCCUUAAAGACUACCAGCUUUAUUUGGGCAUAAGCUUUCAUGGGUAAAAAACCCACUUCUUUAAAUGCAUGGAGUGAAAAUUACAGAUGCAGGCAUUAUAUACGGACAUAUGAAGAGAAUAAUAAUAUAUUAUUUAUUAAAUAAAGACUGUUAGUCUUUAAAGUGCC